CAGUAGCCACGGGAAUACAGAGGGUGCGAGCGUUAAUCGGAUUUACUGGGCGUAAAGCGUGCGUAGGCGGCUUCUUAAGUCGGAUGUGAAAUCCCUGAGCUUAACUUAGGAAUUGCAUUCGAUACUGGGAAGCUAGAGUAUGGGAGAGGAUGGUAGAAUUCCAGGUGUAGCGGUGAAAUGCGUAGAGAUCUGGAGGAAUACCGAUGGCGAAGGCAGCCAUCUGGCCUAACACUGACGCUGAGGUACGAAAGCAUGGGGAGCAAACAGGAUUAGAUACCCGAGUAGUCCCUGUCUUUUAUAC
rnacentral:rRNA from 1 species